UCACUUUUUGGGGAGCAUGGGGCCCCUCC
rnacentral:piRNA from 1 species